GCCCCGGGCGGGCUCCACACCCACCUGCUUCCCUCGGCGGCUCCGGCUCCACUGAGCCGGAGGGUCCGCGGCCCCGCGGGCGCCGCGCACGGGGCGGCGGGGAAAGCCCGGGGCGCCCCGGCCAGGAUGCGCUUGGAGGCUUCGCGGGAUUCCCUGGACCCCUCUGUUUUCGGCCGCGGAGUUAUCCCCCGGCCCUCCCCACACACCCCUGACCCUGGCCCGCUGCUCGACCCCGGGGGACUGGGGAGAGGAGAGCCAGCUCCUGAGUGAUGACCCGGAGUAUCCCCAGGGAAGGAGCGCGCGGGUAACGAGGAGCGCAGAGAGGAUCCGACUUUCCUCCGAGCUCCUCCAGCUCUAUUUGGGGGCCGUCGCCAGCUCCAUAAUCCCCGCUUUCCCAGAGAACUGUGCCAAGUUCCUCCUUGGAGAGGCAGCCAGAUGGACACCCAGAACUUUCCGUAUCUUCGUGUCGAGGAUGAAAAUCUGGUUAAAACAAAUGUAGACGUUGACAAGCACAAUCUACAAAAAGGAGAGAAAAGGAAAAGAAAUAACCUAUUGGUGGUCCUCAAAGGGAUGGAGUAACAUCAAGAAGGGCUUCCCAGAUGGCUCAGUGGUAAAGAAUCUACUUGCUAAUGCACGAAAUGCAGGUUUGAUACCUGGGUCAGGAAGAUCCCCAGAGAAGGAAAAUGGCAACCCAGUCCAGUAUUCUUGCCUUGGAAAUCUCACGGACAGAGGAACCUGCCGAGCUACAGUCCCGAGGGUCGCAAAAGAAUGGCACACGACUUAGUGACUAAACAACAACAACAACAAUAUCAGGAAAAGACUGCAACUCUAUACAGAAAAGAAAAAGGCAAAUGCACCUCACAGAGAACUGGGACACUGUGAAUCAUCUACUUUUGAAUUCUUAAAAUUGGAAAUUAG
ensembl:lncRNA